rnacentral:tRNA from 1 species
GUGGGUAUGGCGUAAUUGGUAGCCGCAGGAGACUUAAAAUCUCCCGCUUCUGGCGUGUGGGUUCGAGUCCCACUACCCGCA